UGCGUAGGCGGCUUCUUAAGUCUGGUGUGAAAGCCCAGGGCUCAGCUCUGGAAGUGCACUAGAAACUGGGGAGCUUGAGUACCGGAGGGGAGAGUGGAAUUCCUGGUGUAGCGGUGAAAUGCGUAGAUAUCAGGAGGAAUACCGGUGGCGAAAGCGACUCUCUGGACGGUUACUGACGCUGAGGCACGAAAGCGUGGGAGCAAACA
rnacentral:rRNA from 1 species